AAGUCGUAACAAGGUUUCCGUAGGUGAACCUGCGGAAGGAUCAUUAUUGAAUUAAUGUAGAGUUUGGUUGUAGCUGGUCCCUAAUUAACUUGGGGGCAUGUGCACACCUUUCUCUUUCAUCCCAUACACACCUGUGCACCUGUGAGACAGAUGUUUUCUAGGGGGGGAAGGAACUUUAUUGGACCUACUCUCUUUGGACUUCUGUCUACUUAAUCUAUAUAAACUCAAUUUAUUUUAAAAUGAAUGUAAUGGAUGUAACACAUCUAAUACUAAGUUUCAACAACGGAUCUCUUGGCUCUC
rnacentral:misc_RNA from 1 species